UUUUUUUUCAGCAUUCAUUUUCAACAUUCAACAUUCAAAAUUUUUUUUAUAAAGCUUUUUUUUUCAAUUUUCAUUUUUUUUUUUCAAACAUUCGUUUUCAACAUUCAACAUUCGAUUUUCGAUUCUCUAAUAAAACAAAUUUGACAUAUUGCUCAGAUCAAACUUAAUUAAACACAAUAUAUUUCCUGAUGUAGAUCUAUAAAUAGAUCCUUGGAACCUGGUCAAACAAAUUGACACAACAGAUGUAAUGGAUAAAAGUCCUUCAGAAACAAACAAAAAACAUUUGGCAGUUUGUUAUUUUGAACUAACAAAUGCUUCAAAUUUAGAGCUACAAUUGAAUGGGAGAGACUCAUAUAAGAAAAGUUUAGAAAAAUGACAUGUCAUGUUAUAUAAAGAAAGGUUUAUUAAAAUCAAGCUUAACCCAAUCACAAGAAGGUUAUAGGUUACUAGUAAGUAAACAUUUUGAAUGUUAUUAAUCUACAAGAAAAUGAUAAAAAAAAAUAAACUAUACUUUUAAAUCUUUAUCACAAUCUGAAGUAAAACAAUCUGAAUUCUUAUACAAAAAAGGUCAUUAGAACUAAGGAUAAGUAUUUAAUGAAUUAUUUCACUGUAUGCCGUAAUUUUACUGUUUGUGUUAUAUUUGUUAAUUUUUUUUUUCACAUGUUUUUUUUUAUUUUAAUAACCAAUGAUAUUUGAAUUUUAUAUUCUGGGAUUUCUCAAGGUGCCUUCUUUGAGGUCUGCACCUACGAUAAAAUCGCCAAGUUUUCAUUCUGUACCCCGCUCUCAAGAAUAGAAGAUCUUGAUGUGUUUAAUAAUCAUUUAGAUGGAGCAGGACUGAACAUCGGUUUACAUUCAUAAAUUAAAUUUAGAUACGGGGUUGGAUACAAAUUUAGUAGACAAGUGUUAGAAACCUUCUGGUGAAAUAUAGGUUCAUAUGAAUAUAGCGUUUCUAAAUGCUAAGACAUUUAUUUUGGUCAAACAUUUCUCAAAAGAAAAAAAUGCAGAGUCAAUAUAACACACUAUUACAGUAACUGAGUGCUUACUAAUCAGACCACGUCUAUGUGCUGCUGUAAGUGCCUAUACAUAGGUCACACAGCUUUCGUAUAUGAAUUUAUGGAUUGAAGCAGGUUCAACAAAGGUUCAAUUCAUACAGAGCUUCCGUUUAUUGAUAAAUUUAUAUGAUUAUUUUGUAAUUGAAAAAAGGAAUAGUGUAUCAAUUCUUGACACAAAAUCAUUACGUGUACAUGAUGACAUCAAAGCACGGCACCUUUCGAUUUUCUUCAACCCAAAGUCAGCAUGAUGCAUUAAACAUGGAGCAAACUUUUACCCCACGGAAAGUUAAAAAAAGUUAAAGAUGUACCCGUAAAUAAUAUACAUAUUUUGAUCGGUCUUUAAAUUUUAUAGGCUUCAGAUAGUUGUUGAAAAAGUAUUUUGCUAUCCCCAACUUAUUAUUUAAUAUUGAUAUUUAAUAAUCGUUGACGAAGAGCGAAAUCUUGAUUGUAGGCACAAGGUAUUAGUCUUCAAAACUGCAGGAGGAAUUGUCUAUAUGAGCUUAUAUCAUCAUUAUUGAUUUUAUAGUGUGGGUGCACCAACGGGAACAGAGAGAAAAAAAUAUUUACAUCAUCUAAAUAAUUCUAUAGGCAUUCAAAAGCUUAUUCAAUGCACUACUCUUUUGUACACUUACAACACAUUUUAAUUGGGUCAGUGUACGUGUGCGUUUUUUUUUUUAUUGAUGAUAUGUGACGUUUAAGACAUAAAUGAGCAGGUCUUGCAGUUUCCUUAAUUUCUGUUUGUUAAGAAAACUUAGACACGAUUUUAGUUUAAGGACUGGUCCUUUUAAAACAAUUUGGCUAGUAAUAUAGGGUGGAUAUUAGAUUUUAGAACAUGAAAUACUGAUAUAUAUUUAUACGGACACUGAUCGAGGACAUUUCUUGUUUCUUGUUUGAUUUGAAAAGGCAAAAUAGUUGACCAGAGAAUAAUUAAGACAACACAGGCAAUCCACCAAUGAAAUGAUACAGUUCGUAUUUAUAUUCGAUCAAAAAAAAAAAAAAAAAAAUAAAACAAGAAGUUUUUACAUCGAUAUUUAAAAAUAAGCCGAUAUUGAAAACAGAUCCGCACAUGAAAUGUAACAUGAUCAAAAGCAAAAGUUAAAAAAAAAAGGAAAAAGAAUAAAAAACCUAAAAAAGUUGUUAACUAAGCUAGAUAUGAAGAAAUAACUAUCAAGGAGCCAAUAGAAAAGAAAUGUGGAAGGCUUAUUGUGGAACUUGUGAACAUAUUCAGGAAAAGAAGACUUUUGUAUUCAAAAACAAUAUGAUUUUUGACAUAAAUUGCAAUAUGGAUUUAUUCUGCAAAGCUGUUUAAAAUUGUUUUCAAUUUAAUGUGUUUUUAAUUACAAAACACAUAUGCAGAAGUGUGUUGUAUAACCACGUCUUUUUUUUAAGGCAAAACAUUAAAUACGAUAAUUUGAAUUUAUUUUUAAUAUUAAGAUGCAGAGAGUGGUCCUCGCCACAAUAUGUUGUGCCUUGACACGUCGCAGAAAAAAAAAACACUUGACCAAACAACGAAAGUAGAAAGGCUGAAACAUUGAGGUUUAAUCAAUUUCCCUUCAAAUUUGUUUACACCUGAGCCAUUUUUAUGACGUCUUUACAUAAUGUAUGUAGUUGAAGAUUUAAUAUUGAUGUCUAGAUGUCUAUAAAUAUUAUAGUCGUUGGGAUGCUGCCUCAAUAUCGUAUACCCAACAUCUCUCUUCAUUCAUACAUGUACCAGAUCAUAAACGCUUAUGGUUGUCCAAAUAGCUUUAGAUUUCGGCUUUUAAUGUGUAUUAACCCACAGACUAAUUGGAAUUUAAUUUUUAUCCAAAACGCAGAUUAUAUUGUUUGCAGGUAAUUAUUUUUAAAAAUCAUCCAUUUCGCAUAUGAAUGUCCCUGUAUCGACUGCACAAGUUUCAUGCAUAGGCGUGGGAAAUUGUCCGUGUCGAACUUUAUGACUUUUUAAAGUGUUAUCUAAAAAUAAAAAUUUGAGUAAAGUUGACGUUUCCUGAGAAAGGAGACCCUCUUAAAUAUCUCAAAAUAUUACUUAUCUGAUAUUCGUAAAAUUAAGGAUCGUCUAAGUUAUAUUAACAUUAAGAACGAACAAAUCUUUACAUUUUCUUUUACAGAUUUUUAGGUAUGAUUUAUGAAUUCUAUAGAAUUUCUCAUUAUUUUUCAGAAUUAAGUACAUGAACGAUUUUCACUAUCUUUCAAAAUGUUAGGACAUAAAUAUUUAUCGAUUUUGGAUUUUAUUUUCAUGAUUCAUUCAUGCAAGUGUCAGGAUUUAGAUAAGUAUAUUGCACCAAUACUGGACAACAGAGGGGCGCCACUAGUUGCAAUAGUAGAUACAACUAACAUCAGUUCACAUAUUGUCCGGUCAAUAGAAAUGCCAUUACGUGAGAUAAUCAACACCACGAUAGAAUGCAAAAUAAACGAAGAGUUAGAAACAGUGAAACAGGACAUUGCUACAUUACGGAUAAACACGGAAGAGACAUUUUCAGAUGAAAUAUACGAAAGGAAGAAUUUCACUAAGAUUGUCCAUACUGUGAAAGCAGAUCUUGAUGAAAAGGUGAAGAAUUUCACAAAAUAUGUGGACGUCAUGAAGUCAGAAUUACAACAGAAGAUUGACGAACAUAUUGGUGAUAACAGGGACCAAUUUAAGGAAGUUAAACAGAACAUUGCGACACUACAGAAAAACACGAUAGAGACAAUUUCACAUGAAAUCCUUGGACAAAGGAGGAAUAUGACAAAGACUAUCGAUAAUGUGAACAAACAUCUUGUUGAAAAGAUGAAGAACUUCACUAGCAAUGUAGUUGUCAUGCAGUCAGGCGUACAAAAGAAGAUUGACGAACAUAUUGGAGAUAACCAGAAUAAAUUCACUGAAGUUAAACAGGACAUUGUGACACUACGGAAAGAAAUCGAGGAGAAAAUUAAUAAUGAAAUCCUUCAAAAAAUGAAGAAUUUUACUACAAUCGUCAAUACUGUGAACAAAGUGAAUGAAAAAGUGAAGAUUUAAACAACAAUGUGGAUAUCAUGCAAUCAGAAUUAAGGGAAACCAUACUGUCUGUGAAUAACAAUGCAUCAAAUUUAUCAGACCAACUGGAAACCCAUUUCAAUAGAUUGGAUGCGCUCCGUUCAAAUAUACAAAAGUUAACUGUAAACACCAACGCAAUUCAGAGUGGUAUGAAUGAAGUAAGAUCACCUGCUAACGUCAAUUAUGGAAGGUUAGGAGGUCAUGAAUCAAGACUAGACGAUUUGAAUACUAAGGUCAAUGCUAUUAAUUCAAGAGCUUUUCUGUCAGCAUGGGUUCCUAGUUCAGAAACAAUGACAUCUAGUGAGGUCAUACCAUUCACGACUAUAAAAGCACAACAUGGCAUUAGUAGCGUUUCGUCCAUGACAAGCAGAGGAGAAUUUACUUGCGAGAAAGCGGGAUACUACCUCGUGUCUUUUUUUGUGACGUCGAAAUCGUCAAAGGCACAGGCAAGUUUGUAUAGGAAUACUGCACAAAUCGCUAAAACUACGAAAAGUGGUGAUAGUCAUUACGAAUCACAUGCUGCAAUGACAAUUACUCAACUUGAUACGGGAGAUAUUCUAUCUGUGAAAGCUAAAAUUGAUGACAUGAAUGUGUACAGCACAUACGAUACAGGAUUCACCAUUCUUCAGAUAUACUGACCGUUCUUGAGUUAUGUCCCUUUAUAAGGUUACAUGCAAGCGAGGGUAUCAUCUGUCCCAUAAACACAUUCCCCAUUUUUAUUUUUUUUUUCACCAUUUAUCAAUUGGUGGGGGAAGAUGGAUUAUUCUUUUACCUUUUUCAGAUUAACAAAAAAAACCUUUUUUUUAUUAAUUUUCAUGAAAAGAAUUUGUUUUGGAAAUUCAAUGGAAACAAACCUUUUUUUACCCCUCCGUUUUGAAACUUUUUUUUUUUCAGAAAUGUAUAAUCAAACACCAUAUCUAAAAGAAAACCAUACUCCCACAUAAGAUGACUGAUUGGUGCCUUAUAAUCCCCAGAGCCAUUUGUCGAAGAACUACGAAUACUUUUUGAAUUUGUAUGAAAAUGCAAGCAUGUAAAAUACUUCUCAAAUCAAUGGAUAUCUGAAAUUCAUUAAGAUUUUUGUACAACUUCAAGAUAUAUUACAAAGACUUGUAUACAAAUCAAUCUCUUUUUCAUUAAUUUUUUGAACACUUUGGAUACAUUGCGUAGUAAAAAUUGUCCACACAAUUGUAGUUGUUUUUUUUUUUUUUUGCUUCCUUGCUUAAAAUAUGACAUGAAUCAUACUUCAACUUUUAUUCAUGAAAAAAAAAUUCUAAUAAAAAAUUGAAAUUUCCACAGAAAAUGUAAAACGCAACGCUAAACACCAAGCAUUUACACAAUGUGAACAGUCAUUUGGGGUGUUAGAAAAUGUAUUUUUAUGAUUGUGUGUCUGCGCUAAAUGUUAAUAAUUCAUGUAGAUAUAAUUUUUGAAUGGCUUUUAACAGGUCAGGGCCACUAGAUUUUGACGUCAGAAUACAUUUGCAAAGUAAUUUCCCAAAUACAAAAUGUAAACAUGGCCCUGAGAAUUUGGCCAAUCAACUCAAUGAACCACAAUACAAUGUGGACUACUACGAGUUUACUAUCACCCAAUAACACGUGGAAUUGUUUAAAAAGUGUCAUUUUGUAUUUUUUUCUAUGAAUCUCAUAUUUGAUUUUUUUGUCCAUCUACUGUAAUACAUGUAAUUUAUAUAACAUAAUCUUCAAUGUGCAUGCUCAUAUAUUAAAAGUAUUGUUCACAAG